AAUUCCUCCAUUUCUUAAAUAAAAAGAGGAAUGACACAAAAAGGAAAAGGGAAAAGAAGUUGAAGAACUGCAUUUUGGGAGGGAAUUAAAGGGGGGAUUAUUUGACUUGAUAGUUUCUGCAAACUGUUGUUGCAAAUAUAUGCUCUUUUAUAGGCAUUUCGUUUAGGCAAGAAAUGGGAUUUCUCUAAAAAAAAAAAAUAUGAGAUAUGCAUUUUUCAGCAACUUUUUCUUGUCAAUGAAAAGUACUUCACUUGACUCAUUGAACACAUUAUGUGGAGCCAAAUAUGAAAUUUACUUUUGGGAGAAGGGUAAACUUUGUUUUUAGUAAUUUUUGUGAGUGAAUGUCACGACCCGGAUUUCCUUAUCCUCGGGAGUCGUGAUGGCGCUUACUCGUAGAAGCUAGGUAAGCCAUGAACUUAGAAAUCAUUAACUCCUUUAUUUUAAAACUUCUUACCAAUUAUAUUAACAAGGGAAUAAACAGUUAAAUAACCGCGGAAUAUGAAAUUUAGCGGAAGUCUUAAAUAAAUAGGAAACGAAAAUGUCUCACAGACCAUCACGUGCCUCUAACCAGAACCCGGUGUCACAACAUCCACGGACUAAUAAGAGUACUAAAUACAACCGUUUGAAAGAAAUAUAACACUGUUUGUCUCGAAUACAUGAGAUAACAAAAUAUAAAAUAAGAUAGAGGAGACGUCGGGCCUGCGGACGCCCGCAAGGCUACCUCGGUAUCACGGUGGACUGAAGGCUGGCUCCCAAGCUACUGCUGCUGACCAAAGGCUACUCCGUAUAUUCACAGAGUGUAGAGUGUAGUAUCAGCAAAACCGACCCCAUGUGCUGGUAAGUGCCAGCCUAACCCCGGCGAGGUAGUGAUGAGGCUAGGACCCGACUCCAGAUAAACCUGUGCAGUUAUAUAAUAUACAUCAGAAAUAUAAACAAGUAAUAAUAGUUUUAAAAGGGAGGGGAAAACAUGCUUCGGGGAAACAUAUCAAUUCUAUCAGAAACUUAAUAAAGUAUGAAAGAACACCCGAUGUCUACAAUCAAUGCAACUACAAUACUGUUGCGGCGCGCAACCCGAUCCCUUAUCAUUUAACAUUGUUGUGGCGUGCAACCCGUUCCAUAUAUAUAACUGUUACUGCGUGCAACCCAUUUCAAUAUAAUAUCUGUUGCGGCAUGCAAACCGAUCCAAUAUAAUAUAUGUUGCGGCGUGCAACCUCAUCCAAUAUAAUCUCUGUUGCGGCGUGCAACCCGAUCCAACACAAUAUCUAUUGUGGCGUGUAACCUAUUCCGAAUAUACAGUCAACAAUAAUCAUAAUUAACCAUCUCGACAAAUGAUCAACAAUAGACUACACUAUCCUGGCAAGGAAACUCAGUAGUUUUGGGAGGCAAUUUCCAAGAAUAGGUAAUUUCCAUGGACCUCGAGGCAAUCUUUUGGUUUGGCUAUUGGAAUUC
rnacentral:lncRNA from 1 species